AGGCAUGACCUUUCCACUGCCUCAUGCAGCUGUGAAAAACAGAAGCUUUUCCUCCUGAGAGAUGUGGUUUUCAAAGAUCCAAAACCAGACAUCUUGUUAUGCAUCAUCUGUAACACUGUUCUCAUCCAAGCCUUUCUGGAAAGUUUCUGACCACCUAGAGCAAUGCCAUGGAGAGCAGACAGUCCCAUCCCACUGAAAGACCAGUCUUUCUACAGAACCUCAAGGGCCAUCCCCAAGAAACGUGACCCAGAAUUGCAGCUCUCCCCUUCUUUCCACACCCUGAAGGGAGGUUUUCUGGAUCUAGGUCCCCUGAGAACAUACAGGUGGGGCUAAUCUACUUCUUAGGCAUUUCCUUCAGAAUCCUUGUUCAUGGAAGACUCUCCCAGAGGAUUUUGCUGAGCCAUAUGGGCCCUAUCUUCGGACAUGACAAUUAUCGCCUCAUAAUAAUGCAACAGCA